AGAGCAGAGGCAAGGAAACAGUGAGUCAGGAGAAAAGAGGCCAGUUUGCUUCAUCGGAUCUGCAUCCACUGCCUCAGGAACAGAAAUCAUCAGGAGUGACCACCAGGAAUGUUCCUUCACCACAGAUGUGCUUUCACCCUGGAGAAAACUUGACCAGAUGAUCUUGGGAUUGUUUUAGAAGAGAGGAGCAGAGAAGUGGCAGACGUGAGAUGAACAACUUGACAACAUGAACUACAAGUGGAGUCUUACUCUGUUGCUCAGGGUGAAGUACAAUGGUGCAAUCUCAGCUCACUGCAACCGCCACCUCCCAGGUUUAAGAAAUCUUCCCACCUCAGCCUCCUAAGCAGCUGGGACUACAGAGAAAUGCCGUGAUCCUUGGAGUUAUAAAUGGAAGGAAGAAUGAGGUCUCCCAUGGCCUUAACUUCAGGGCUAAACUCUCCUGUGAAGGCUUUGAGCUACACUAAGACUGACAAGGGGAUUAGAAAGUGAUGAUACUUGGACUUGAGCAUUAGUUAUAAAUGAGUUAUAACACAUAAGUACCAAAAGGGAAAAUUUUUUUACAAGUUUA